GCCUAUAGUCCCAGCUUCUCGGAUGCAGAGACAGGAGGAUCGCUUGAGUCCAGGAGUUCUAGGCUAUAGUGUGCUAUGCUGAUCUGGUGUCUGCACUAAGUUGGGCAUCAAUAUGGUGACCUGGGAGCAGGGGCCACCAGAUUGUCUAAGGAGGGGUGAACCAGCCCAGGUUGGAAACAGAGCAGGUCAAAACUACCAUGCUGAUCAGUAGUGGGAUCAUGCUUGUGAAUAGCCACUGCACUCCAGCCUGGGUAACAUAGUGAGACCUUGUCUCUA
rfam:Otolemur garnettii contig025090, whole genome shotgun sequence.